rnacentral:lncRNA from 1 species
ACCACUAUCAUUCUAAGUGGGGACCACCUGUUGGCUUAAAUGGGCCAGCAUCCUGCCCUGUGGCGGGAGGCCAUGUGGGCCGAGUUAUGUUCGAAAUGGCGUGAGGCUGGGUUGGGCCGAGUCAUGUUCGAAGUGGCGUGAGGCCAGGUGGGCCGAGUCACAAUCGAGACACGUGGGCGCUGUUUCUGUACGCUUUAAGUGAAUUGGUUGCGUAUUUCUAACAGCUCGAGCUUUUGGGAUUAAUGGUUAGUGCCAACGAUCCGACAAGUGGUAUCAGAGCCAGAGGUCACGGGUUCGAUUCUUGCAUGCUGCAAAUGUGUGCAGGUACUGGAGGGGAGAUUGUUGGCUUAAAUGGGCCAGCAUCCUGCCCUGUGGCGGGAGGCCAUGUGGGCCGAGUUAUGUUCAAAAUAGCGUGAGGCUGGGUUGGGCCGAGUCAUGUUCGAAGUGGCGUGAGGCCAGGUGGGCCGAGUCACAAUCGAGACACGUGGGCGCUGUUUCUAUACGCUUUAAGUGAAUUGGUUGCGUAUUUCUAACAGCUCGAGCUUUUGGGAUUAAUGGUUAGCGCCAACGAUCCGACACCACCAUCAUCUUAAUCAUACAUCCCAUCAAUCAACGGUUAAAAAUUUAUGAGUAUAAGGAGGUCUAUACUCAUAAGAGUAUAGUAGCCCCAGCCUAUAUAUAUAUAUAUAUAUAUGGGGGAUAAUUGUCUAUAUACCCUUCAAAACUUCGAAAAUAUCUCAUUUACUCCUACUUUUUUUUUUAUUUCCAAUAUACCCCUCAUAUGUUCCUCCGUUAUUCCAAAAUACCAUUGUAGUUACCACUCGUUAAGUUAACUUGGAUUAAACGUGAGUUAAAUAUCUACUACAGUUAAAAAAAAUUAAAAUACCACUUUUGCCCUUAAUUUAAAGGCAAAUAAGAAAUGUUGGUGAUGAUAGAAGAGUAUAUUUAAAAAGACCAAAAAGCAAAAUACUUUUUGUGCCGCUAACUUAAGGGCAAAAACGAAAAGUCGGUGAUGGUAGAAGGAUAUAUAUGAAAGGGCAAAAUAGUAAUUUCAUAGAGAUAACAGAUUUCAUUAACAGAUUUUAACUCUAAGGUAUAUUAGAAAUAGGUAGGAAUGUAAAAAAGACAUUUUCAAUAGUAGCCUUCUAAGAGGGGUAAAUUAGAAAGUCGGAAACUUUUCAGGAGUAUAUAAGCAAUUACCUCUCUCUCUCUCUCCCUCUCUCUCUCUCUCUCUAUAUAUAUAUAGUCCCGCUACUAUACUAUCGAUAGUACCAAGCCCUUGGUACUAUUGAGUUUUCUACCGUUAGAUCUACCGUUUGAUCAUUUUCACUCGUUAGAUUAUACUAUUAAACCAACCACCCACUCAACCCUAGGGAACCACUAUCAUCCUAACCGCACAUCCUUUCAUCCAACGGCCGAAACCUCAAUAGUACCAAGGGCUUGAUACUAUUGAUAGUAUAAUAGCAUAAUUCUAUAUAUAUAUAUAUAUA